rnacentral:tRNA from 1 species
UGUUUUGUGGUGUAGUUGCUUAUUACACUAGUCUAACACACUGGUGGUUCCCGGUUUGAGCCUGGAUAAAAUCA